rnacentral:rRNA from 1 species
UACGUAGGGGGCAAGCGUUAUCCGGAUUUACUGGGUGUAAAGGGAGCGUAGACGGACUGGCAAGUCUGAUGUGAAAGGCGGGGGCUCAACCCCUGGACUGCAUUGGAAACUGUUAGUCUUGAGUGCCGGAGAGGUAAGCGGAAUUCCUAGUGUAGCGGUGAAAUGCGUAGAUAUUAGGAGGAACACCAGUGGCGAAGGCGGCUUACUGGACGGUAACUGACGUUGAGGCUCGAAAGCGCGGGGAGCAAACAGG